UAGAGUUUGAUCCUGGCUCAGAUUGAACGCUGGCGGCAUGCCUUACACAUGCAAGUCGAACGGCAGCACGGGUGCUUGCACCUGGUGGCGAGUGGCGAACGGGUGAGUAAUACAUCGGAACAUGUCCUGUAGUGGGGGAUAGCCCGGCGAAAGCCGGAUUAAUACCGCAUACGAUCUACGGAUGAAAGCGGGGGACCUUCGGGCCUCGCGCUAUAGGGUUGGCCGAUGGCUGAUUAGCUAGUUGGUGGGGUAAAGGCCUACCAAGGCGACGAUCAGUAGCUGGUCUGAGAGGACGACCAGCCACACUGGGACUGAGACACGGCCCAGACUCCUACGGGAGGCAGCAGUGGGGAAUUUUGGACAAUGGGCGAAAGCCUGAUCCAGCAAUGCCGCGUGUGUGAAGAAGGCCUUCGGGUUGUAAAGCACUUUUGUCCGGAAAGAAAUCCUUGGCUCUAAUACAGUCGGGGGAUGACGGUACCGGAAGAAUAAGCACCGGCUAACUACGUGCCAGCAGCCGCGGUAA
rnacentral:rRNA from 1 species